CACGUAGGGACCAAGCGUUGUCCGGAAUCAUUGGGCGUAAAGAGCGUGUAGGCGGCUUGUUAAGUCUUGCGUGAAAUCUCGGGGCUCAACCCCGAGCGGUCGUGAGAAACUGGCAGGCUAGAGUGCGGGAGAGGAGAGUGGAAUUCCUGGUGUAGCGGUGAAAUGCGCAGAUAUCAGGAAGAACACCCGUGGCGAAGGCGGCUCUCUGGAACGCAACUGACGCUGAGACGCGAAAGCGUGGGGAGCGAACAGG
rnacentral:rRNA from 1 species